rnacentral:rRNA from 1 species
GGUGAAUUUUCCGCAAUGGGCGCAAGCCUGACGGAGCAAUACCGCGUGAGGGAGGAAGGCUCUUGGGUCGUAAACCUCUUUUAUCAGGGAAGAACACAAUGACGGUACCUGAUGAAUCAGCAUCGGCUAACUCUGUGCCAGCAGCCGCGGUAAUACAGAGGAUGCAAGCGUUAUCCGGAAUUAUUGGGCGUAAAGCGUCCGCAGGUGGUUUUGGUAGUCUGCUGUCAAAGCGCGAGGCUCAACUUCGUAUCGGCGGUGGAAACUCCAAGACUAGAGCUAGGUAGGGGUCACGGGAAUUCCCAGUGUAGCGGUGAAAUGCGUAGAUAUUGGGAAGAACACCAGCGGCGAAGGCGCGCUACUGGGCCGAAACUGACACUCAUGGACGAAAGCUAGGGGAGCGAAAGGGAUUAGAUACCCCUGUAGUCCUAGCUGUAAACGAUGACAACUAGGUGUUGCGCGUAUCGACCCGUGCAGUGCCGUAGCUAACGCGUUAAGUUGUC